rnacentral:rRNA from 1 species
AUUGAACGCUGGCGGAAUGCUUUACACAUGCAAGUCGAACGGUAACAGGUCUUCGGAUGCUGACGAGUGGCGAACGGGUGAGUAAUAUAUCGGAACGUGCCCAGUCGUGGGGGAUAACGUAGCGAAAGUUACGCUAAUACCGCAUACGAUCUACGGAUGAAAGCGGGGGAUCGCAAGACCUCGCGCGAUUGGAGCGGCCGAUAUCAGAUUAGGUAGUUUGUGGGGUAAAGGCUCACCAAGCCAACGAUCUGUAGCUGGUCUGAGAGGACGACCAGCCACACUGGAACUGAGACACGGUCCAGACUCCUACGGGAGGCAGCAGUGGGGAAUUUUGGACAAUGGACGCAAGUCUGAUCCAGCCAUUCCGCGUGCAGGAUGAAGGCCCUCGGGUUGUAAACUGCUUUUGUACAGAACGAAAAGGCUCUUCCUAAUACGAGGGGCUCAUGACGGUACUGUAAGAAUAAGCACCGGCUAACUACGUGCCAGCCGCCGCUGUAACAC